rnacentral:pre_miRNA from 1 species
UGUUAAAAAUUUCAUCAUUUUCUACUGUUCAAACUCGUGCGACUAAUGAAAUAACAAGUCAGUUGUACCACGUGUACCUCAUGCUGACAUACAAUGAUCAUAUUUUAAUGGUAAAAACGGAUGGAAUUUGUAACA